rnacentral:rRNA from 1 species
UACCUGGUGGCGAGCGGCGGACGGGUGAUAAUGCCUAGGAAUCUGCCUGGUAGUGGGGGAUAACGCUCGGAAACGGACGCUAAUACCGCAUACGUCCUACGGGAGAAAGCAGGGGACCUUCGGGCCUUGCGCUAUCAAAUGAGCCUAGGUCGGAUUAGCUAGUUGGUGAGGUAAUGGCUCACCAGGGGGGCGAUCCGUAACUGGUCUGAGAGGAUGAUCAGUCACACUGGAACUGAGACACGGUCCAACUCCUACGGGGAGGCAGCAGUGGGAAAUAUUGGACAAGGGGGCGAAAGCCUGAUCCAGCCAUGGCGCGUGUGUGAAGAAGGUCUUCGGAUUGUAAAGCACUUUAAGUUGGGAGGGAGGGCAGUUACCUAAUACGUGAUUGUUUUGACGUUACCGACAGAAUAAGCACCGGCUAACUCUGUGCGGGGCGGGGCGCGGUAAUACAGAUGGUGCAAGCGUUAAUCGGGAAUUACUGGGCGUAAAGCGCGCGUA